ACUGGUGUAUUUGUUGUAUUUAACUUUAACCCUAACUUCCUUAAAAUAUCCCAAGUACUUUGGUUAAUAAAGGUUUUAUUAGCACCUGAAUCUAAUAAUCCAUAAAAUGCGAUUCCUAAAAUAUUCACUACUAUGUAAGGACAUUCGCCAUCUUCCACUUGAGCCAAAAUGUAAUCUAAAAUUAAUUUUUGUUUAUUAUCUAAUGUAUUUGAUUUUUGUGUAGGGGUCGUCGAUUUAAAAGAAGACAUGGUGCGACCUAAUCCUGCCUUCGUGAGCCGUUUCCCAAAUUCGGAUUGCAAGAAGGGCACGUGUAUUUGGAUCUUGCGAAAUGACCUGGUUUAUUGCAACGAAAACAUAACCCUCUGUUAGAUGCAGAGGAGUUGUGAUACUCUAAAUCAGUUUCUUCUAACUUACGACAAUAUUCUAUAAGUUCUAAGGGAGAGUGUAUAUCCAGCAAUACUAAACGUUCCUGAUAAAAUGGUAAUAUAUUACAACGCAAAACCUUUAGCCUUAGUUCAUUUGGUACUGAAACUGGCAUUCGAUCGAAAAGAUUAGUCAUAAUUGCAACAUAAAUUCCUAUGGAUUCAUUUGCACCCUGAGUUCUUUGAAGUAUUUGUUUCCAUAAUGCAUCUGAGGUGUGAGAAGGUCGAAAUUCCUGUUUCAUUAAUGUAAUUAAAGAUUCCCAAUUAGAUACUUGACUGCGAACCAUACGAAACCAUACUAAAGCUUCACCCUCAAAUAGAUCAAUUGCAGAAUCAAAUAAUUGUUUUUUAUUUACGUUACGAGAGGUGCAAAGAUCUUCUACCUUUUCUAAAAAUGAAUUAAAACUGAUGCUGUCUUUUAUAUUUCCUGCGAAUUUCAAGUUCCAUUUAUAUACUGGUAUUGAUUUUGAAAGAUUUGUAGAGGAACCUGAUCCUUCACUAGUGACAUUAUCGGUUACUUGAGAUGUGUUUGGUGCAUUAUAAAAAUCUGGAGCAAGUGGUGGUGUACUACCAUGAAUUUGUUUACAUUUAGUAGAAUAAUCAGAGAUUAUUUCCAUUAAUUU